AAUGAAGGUGAUGACGUGUUUCUAUGUGAGUAUGAAUAUGAUGUAAAAUAUCAUAGCUUCAAGAGAAUUGCUGACAUU